CCCUUAGAUGUCCUGGGCCGCACGCGCGCUACACUGAGUGUCUGAGAUACGAGUCUGCCUGGUCCGGCAAGGUCUAGGUAAUCGCUAAAAGACACAUCAUGCUUGGGAUAGAUUAUUGCAAAUAUUAAUCUUGAACGAGGAAUUCCUAGUAAGCGCAAGUCAACAGCUUGCGUUGAUUACGUCCCUGCCCUUUGUACACACCGCCCGUCGCUACUACUAAUUGGAUGCUUAAGCGAGGUUCUCGAACUGCUAGCGACUUAGCUUCGGUGAGGUCGCAGUGUGGGAAGUGAACCUAGCUUUGGUGUCUAGAGGAAGUAAAAGUCGUAACA
rnacentral:rRNA from 1 species